rnacentral:rRNA from 1 species
UACAGAGGUCCCGAGCGUUGUUCGGAUUCACUGGGCGUAAAGGGUGCGUAGGUGGCAUAGAAAGUUUGAUGUGAAAGCUCAGGGCUUAACCCUGAAAUGGCAUUGAAUACUGCUGUGCUGGAGGUUUGGAGGGGGGACUGGAAUUCUUGGUGUAGCAGUGAAAUGCGUAGAUAUCAAGAGGAACACCAGUGGCGAAGGCGAGUCCCUGGACAACUCCUGACACUGAGGCACGAAAGCUAGGGGAGCAAACAGG